AAAAGAAACCAACAGGGAUUGCCUUAGUAGCGGCGAGUGAAGCGGCAAAAGCUCAAAUUUGAAAUCUGGCACUUUCAGUGUCCGAGUUGUAAUUUGAAGAAGGUAUCUUUGGGUCUGGCUCUUGUCUAUGUUUCUUGGAACAGAACGUCACAGAGGGUGAGAAUCCCGUGCGAUGAGAUGUCCCAGACCUAUGUAAAGUUCCUUCGAAGAGUCGAGUUGUUUGGGAAUGCAGCUCUAAGUGGGUGGUAAAUUCCAUCUAAAGCUAAAUAUUGGCGAGAGACCGAUAGCGAACAAGUACAGUGAUGGAAAGAUGAAAAGAACUUUGAAAAGAGAGUGAAAAAGUACGUGAAAUUGUUGAAAGGGAAGGGCUUGAGAUCAGACUUGGUAUUUUGUAUGUUACUCUCUCGGGGGUGGCCUCUACAGUUUACCGGGCCAGCAUCAGUUUGAGCGGUAGGAUAAGUGCAAAGAAAUGUGGCACUGCUUCGGUAGUGUGUUAUAGUCUUUGUCGAUACUGCCAGCUUAGACUGAGGACUGCGGCUUCGGCCUAGGAUGUUGGCAUAAUGAUCUUAAGUCG
rnacentral:rRNA from 1 species